rnacentral:rRNA from 1 species
GCGCAGCAGGCGCGAAACUUCACAAUGUGCGAAAGCACGAUGAGGGAAUCCCAAGUGCUUGCACGUAAGUGUAAGCUGUUUCUCUGUCUAAAACGCAGAGAGAGUAAGGGCUGGGUAAGACGGGUGCCAGCCGCCGCGGUAAUACCUGCAGCUCGAGUGGUGACCGUUAUUAUUGGGGCCUAAAACGUCCGUGGCCGGUUUAAUAAAUGCCUGGGUAAAUCGGACCGCUUAACGGUUCGAAUUCCGGGUAGACUGUUAAACUUGAGACCGGGAGAAGUUAGAGGUACUCCUGGGGUAGAGGUGAAAUUCUGUAAUCCUAGGGGGACCACCAGUGGCGAAGGCGUCUAACUAGAACGGGUCUGACGGUGAGGGACGAAGCCCUGGGGCGC